GACGAACGCUGGCGGCGUGCUUAACACAUGCAAGUCGAGCGGUAAGGCCCUUUCGGGGGUACGACGAGCGGCGAACGGGUGAGUAACACGUGGGUGACCUGCCCUUAGCUCUGGGAUAAGCCUGGGAAACGUGGGUCUAAUACCGGAUAUGACUCCAUAACGCAUGUUGUGGGGUGGAAAGCCUUGUGCGGCUAGGGAUGGGCCCGCGGCCUAUCAGCUUGUUGGUGGGGUGAUGGCCACCAAGGCGACGACGGGUAGCCGGCCUGAGAGGGCGACCGGCCACACUGGGACUGAGACACGGCCACGACUCCUACGGGAGGGCAGCAGUGGGGAAUCUU
rnacentral:rRNA from 1 species